rnacentral:lncRNA from 1 species
CCGCCGCCGGGCUCCCUGCGGGGCAGGGCAGGGCGGCAGCACCGCCCCCCUCCGAGCCUGGCCCAGGGCGAGCGGGCGUCGUUUCGGAAGAGGAAAGACGCCCUCAGGCUCCAGGUGGUCAUGACGCUCCCGACUCUUAACGGUAUCGCCGUUACUACGGUGCCGGUUAACCCCCGAGGCUCCCUCGCGGCUUCAAAAAGCGCGUUCCCGGCUCGUGCUGGUCCGCAGCGUCCCAGCAGGUCAUGUGCUUGCUAUAUAGCCAUGUCGACCAUCUUCUGCUCUACGAUCUUCACCAGCUGCACUUCAGAUCCCUCUACCAGCUGCACCUUCUGUCCAGAGACAGGUUAUUUUCGCUAG